GAGUAUUUUAUAAACUGAGUAUUUCGUUUAAAUAUACUAUUUAGUUAUUAAUAUUCUUUAAUAUCAAUAAAAUAUAUUGUGUGUAACGUUGUAUUAUAGAUUCAAAUUUUGAAACUGAAGUAACGGAUGUAAUCGACAUUUACUUUGAUAUUAUUGAUUGAAAUUUUAUUAAUGCUGUUGAUAAACACGUAUACAUAUAUUUGUACAUUUAUACUUAAUUAAAAUUUCAAGAAGAAAUACCAAAGAUUUGAUAAUAAAGUCAGUUUCAUAUGUUAGUUAAUUUUAUGGAAAAUAAAUGUUUCAUGAAUAAAUAUUAAUAUUACAAUUUUAUAUAUACUUUCUGUUAUAAAUAUAAUGAAGCCAACAGUAGAUGUUUAUUAACUUUUUGUCACAACUUUGUGUUACAAUAUUUCAAUAUCAAUAUGUUAUUUAUUAAAUGAAGUUGUUUAACGUGAAUGUAUAUUUAUCUGUCGCUAUAAACUCCCGAUGACUGCGCAAUUAAUUUUUAUUCUUAAAUAAUACUAAAAGAAGUUAUGUAAUGUCUCUAUUUAUAAAAUAAGGUUGUUUAUAUAGAUUGUGUAUAUAGAUUAUUUGACCAGUAAUUGUUUACGUACAAGACACAUUGAAUUGAUAUAAAUAUCAUCGGUAUUAUCGACGUGCAUAAAUUUUCAGAUCUUCUACUAUUAUUUUUAUUAUAUAACUUUUAUUUAUAUUCUGUAUUUAUAGAACAAAUUAGAACAAAUUUUAAAGCAAACUUGAAAUAAUAUUAGUACGAAGUGUGAUAAACAUAACCUAUAUUUCAUAUAUUGGUAUAUGUACAAUAACGCACAUACUAAUACAUUAGAUACAAGGAUAACCAACUGAAUGUAUUUUAAAGGAGACAAUAAGAACACAUAUAUAAUAUGGAUAUAAUAAAUUACAAUUUGAAUUGAACUUAGAAGUAAAUUGAAGAUAUUUUGCUGAUAAAAUCAUCAUCUUAAUUUAAUGGACUGUAGGGCAUAAAAAAUUGUAAACACUAAUAUUUUUCUAGUCUUUUCCUUUAAAGUAUAUAAUUUAGUCUUUUUUAAUGUGCAAAAGUAUUAAAUUUAUAAUUUUUCAUUUUUUAAAAUGAUUUUUACAUAUUUGAAUUAUAAAAUUCACUUUCAUGAAAAAAAUUACAAACAAACACUUUUUUUAUAAACUUAUAAGCUGCAUUAUCUUAAUCAAAAUAGUACAAAGUAUUUUCCUACAUUUUUGACAUUUUUUAUAACCAUCUUCAAUUAAUCUGCUUGAAUAAACAUUAAUACAUUAAAAAAUUACAAUUUCUAUAACAAAAAUUUUGUAAUUGUAUUACUUAUCCCAUCAUAGUUUUUCUUAUCAUCUAUUAAUUCAUUAUAGAAUCGCACUUUGUGUUAUAUUCAUUCAACUUUCUUAUUAAUUUCUCUUUGGAGCCAGUAAGCGUCUAGCAUCAUUGUCUUCAAGACUCAGCUAAGCUCCAUUAUUAUAAAAUAAUUUAUUAAACAUUUAACGGUUUCAAUUAAUAAAUACUAUUUGAUAUACAAUUUCACUACUAAAUUUACAAAGAGCAGAAUAUAGAUAGUGUCCCUGUGAAGAAGUUCAGAUUGAUUAUCUUACUUAAAAAAUAUUGCUUAAAUAUAAAAGGGCAAUAUAUAUAUCUAUAAUUAUAAUCUUUAUAUCAAAAUGCAUUCAGAGAAAAUCAAAGAAUAAGCCCCUUUAUAUUUAAAUUUAUUUAAUGAUACAGAUGAUAUGUUGUAAUUUAUUAGUAUGCCCCAUAAAACUUUCUCCUAUUUUUAUGUGAAUAAUGACAAUGAAUGCAGUGCAGAUGAAACUCCUUUAGUUCUAGUACACAUAUAAUGCUCAUGAUUCAAUUAAUUGAUUAAUAGGUAAGAUAAUCUGCCUGAUCAUUUAAUCCAGGACAAUCCACUUAAUAUUUGGUCAAAUCACUAUUACUCCUUAUAGAUAGCAACAAGUGACUUUGACAUUAUUAAUUAUUUAUAUAAAUCAUUGCUAUUACUGUAUACCUUUUCAACCCACUUCUACUCAAUGUGAAAUAACGAUUAAAGUAAUAACAAUAAAA